AAAAAAAUAAAAGAAAAAGAAAAGAAAAACAAAAAAGAAAAGAAAGGAAAGAAGAAGAAAAAAAAUGAAAAAGAAAAACAAAAGGAAAUAAGGAAGAAAAAAAGAAAAAAAGGGGGUGCACGUGAAUAAAAUGGGAGAGGUGCUAGACGUGAUGAAUUGGAUUUGAUUUUCUUGGAAAAAUGCUCAUAAACAAUUAAUAUUAAUGCAUGACAGAUCACUUUAGAAUAUUUUUGAAAUUUUGUUUUAUUUGGUAAUAAUUCGAAUCAACAUUAUGACAAUCAUUGCAAGGAAUAAUUAAAAAUAAUAUAUUGAUUGUUGUAUUCAAUUUCUUCC
rnacentral:lncRNA from 1 species